GGAUGAACGCUGGCGGCGUGCCUCAAACAUGCAAGUCGAGCGGGGCUAUGUUGGACCGUAAGGGAAGAUAUAGCCUAGCGGCGAACGGGUGAGUAACACGUGGGUAACCUACCUGGAAGACAGGGAUAACGAUUCGAAAGGGUCGCUAAUACCUGAUAAUAUCUAACAGUCGGAUGGCAGUUAGAAGAAAGGGGAAACCCGCUUUCAGAUGGGCCCGCGUCCCAUCAGCUAGUUGGUAAGGUAAAGGCUUACCAAGGCGACGACGGGUAGCCGGUCUGAGAGGAUGUACGGCCACACUGGGACUGAGAUACGGCCCAGACUCCUACGGGAGGCAGCAGUUGGGAAUCUUAGGCAAUGGGCGAAAGCCUGACCUAGCGACGCCGCGUGAGGGAAGAAGGCCUUCGGGUCGUAAACCUCUGUCAUGGGGGACGAAGGAAGUGACAGUACCCCAAGAGGAAGCCCCUGCUAACUACGUGCCAGCAGCCGCGGUAAUACGUAGGGGGCGAGCGUUAUCCGGAAUUAUUGGGCGUAAAGGGCGAGUAGGCGGUCUGUUAAGUCAGGUGUGAAAUUUCAGGGCUCAACCCUGAAACUGCGCUUGGAACUGGCAGGCUAGAGGACAGGAGAGGGAAGUGGAAUUCCCGGUGUAGCGGUGGAAUGCGUAGAUAUCGGGAGGAACACCAGUGGCGAAGGCGGCUUCCUGGACUGUACCUGACGCUGAGGAGCGAAAGCUGGGGGAGCAAACAGGAUUAGAUACCCUGGUAGUCCCAGCUGUAAACGAUGAGUGCUAGGUGUGGAGGGCUACAAUCCUCCGUGCCGCAGUUAACGCAAUAAGCACUCCGCCUGGGGAGUACGGCCGCAAGGCUAAAACUCAAAGGAAUUGACGGGGGCCCGCACAAGCAGUGGAGCGUGUGGCUUAAUUCGAUGCAACGCGAAGAACCUUACCUGGACUUGACAUGCUGGUAGUAGAAUCCUGAAAGGGAGACGACGGUAGCAAUACCGAGCCAGCACAGGUGCUGCAUGGCUGUCGCCAGCUCGUGCCGUGAGGUGUUGGGUUAAGUCCCGCAACGAGCGCAACCCCUGUGGUUAGUUGCCCUUAUUCAGUUAGGCACUCUAGCCAGACUGCCUGUGAUAAGCAGGAGGAAGGUGGGGAUGACGUCAAGUCAGUAUGGUCCUUAUGUCCAGGGCUGCACACGUGCUACAAUGACCGGUACAGAAGGAAGCAAGGCCGCGAGGCGGAGCUAAUCCCCAAAACCGGUCUCAGUUCGGAUUGGAGUCUGCAACCCGACUCCAUGAAGCUGGAAUCGCUAGUAACGGCGCAUCAGCUACGGCGCCGUGAAUACGUUCCCGGGUCU
rnacentral:rRNA from 1 species